ACAGUUUUGUUGAGAAAAAAUACACAAAGUUUAGCAAGGUCUAGCUUUAAUGCAUGUCGAAAAUAUUUGAAUUCUCAACGAAAAGCCGCCGCGCUAAUUGCGAUUCAUUGCCAUAUACGCGCACAUCCUCGCAAGCGUUUCAACCUUGCCCGGUGGCCGCACUGAGCACUUUUUUUUGGAGGUCUCCUCGGUAAUACUUCAGCUUGCUUGGUCGCUGCAAUUGACUUUUUAAAAAUAUCGAGUAAAGUCGCCGUCCCAACUCAACUCAAACCCAAACGAUGAGAAAUUAUUUUCGGCCCAUUCCGUGCGCAAAAAGUAAAGAUCUAUUCACACUUACCGAAGUCGUUUCUAAAAAAAUUUUCGUCACGCGGUUAUCGUUUCGUUUAGUUUGCUCGCUGAUAAAUCGAAAGAGAACUGGGGCAACAACAAUUACGUUUUUGAAAUGCUUAUUAAAAAAAAAUCUUUGCAAUAAGAUAACAACGUUCUGCGCUCGCACGCGUAAACCGAUCGCACCCGUGCUACAUCGUAAACUGCUUGUUAUGAAAAUUUUUAUUUUACAAAUAUAUUACAUCAAGGGAAAAAAAUGAUAUUUAUUAGUAGUAUUUAUACAAUUACCAAAGAAAACUGUAGUAUAAGCAAACAAUGGGAUAAAUGACGAACGUAUAUUAUGAUUGCCCGUACUAUAGAACGAUGAUAAUUCCGAAGUAGACCUUGCGAAUGGUCAAGCAGGUACAACAAGAUGAUAAGGGAUAUUCGUCUCAUGACAAUAUCGUUACGCAAAGAUUUUACGUAUGUUUUGUCUUGCACGCUCGUAUACCAGAGCAUCUGGGUUGCCGGUUCGCUAUCUCGCUAAACAGAUAAACGUUUCUUGUAUACGUGCAUCUUCGCUUUAUUUUUUUACCGUUCAUUUUUUCGUUUUCCUUACAGCGAAUUAUUGCCCGCUACAGACGACUGCGUCUAGCAUUCAUUAUACACACUGCACUCACGUGAAUACGUAUCACAUAUAUACAUGAGCACAUGAGCAGCUGAUUUUUUUUCCAAUAUGACAUUACUUCGGAGAAUCAACGCUUUAGCCAUGAAGAUACCAAGGCGAGCGAUCCUCGGCUCGCUAAUGUUCCUUGCCUGCAUGUUCUCAUACGUAAUAAGAACUAAUUUGUCAAUCAUCAUCGUGGCCAUGGUACAACCAACAGGUAAAGGCAACUCCACGAAAGGACCUUAUUGUCAAGACGCUAAUCAGUUCGGAAGCAAUAGUAGCACACCCAAAGUUAUCGACGAUUUUGGUGAACGCUACGCAUGGAGCCAGAACAUGCAAGGUCAAAUAUUAGCUGCUUACUUCUACGGCACUUUGCCAUCGAGCAUACCAGGUGGCAUGCUCGCAGAGAAAUUCGGCGGUGCCAGAGUCGUUGCUUUUGCCACAUUGAUUCCAGCCUUGCUAAAUCUCGCAAUUCCAUGGGUAGCUGUGCAUCACUAUAUGUUUGUGUUCGCUUUGAGAUGUAUUUCUGGCUUCUUUGGCAGUGCAAUAUAUCCAGCACUGCACGCGAUGAUUGCUCGUUGGGUACCACCGUCGGAGAAAGGCAUGUUCGUAUGGACGAUGCAGGGCGGUCCAUUCGGCACUUUUGUUACAUUGUCCCUGUGUGGUGUGAUAAUCUCUGAAUUGGGUUGGAAGGCCGCUUACUACGUGACGAGUGGCCUUAUGUUGCUGUUCUAUUUGCUCUGGGUGUGGCUAGCCUACGACACUCCCGAAGUACAUCCAACUAUUACCGAAGAAGAAAAGACUUAUAUUAAGGAGCAAAUUGGCUCUUCGGUUAGCAAACAGAAAGUUGCCCUGCCGAUCAUAAGCAUCUUGACUUCGUUACCAUUCCUCGUUUUACUGUACGCUCACUUCGCCAAUAUGUGGGGAAUUUACUUCAUCUCCACCAACGGACCCAAGUACACACUUGAGAUUCUUGGUUUCAACAUGAAGAAGGCUGGUGCCUUGACUGGUGUUCCUUAUAUCUCGCGGCUGGCCGCUGGUGUAGCUUUCGCCGCAGCUGGUGACUUUUGUCGUAGGAAGGAACUACUUACUUUAGGAUGGAUUCGUCGAAUCUUCAUGCUUUUCUCUCACAUUGGACCUGCCGUCUGCCUUUUGUUAAUGACGUACGCCAAAUGCGAAUCUUUGGAAGCAAUUACCUGGAUGAUUUUAGCGCUCACGUUCAAUGGUGCCGCCUGCCAAACCAACUUGGUCAAUCAUCAGGAUCUCGCGCCCAACUUUGCUGGCUCGCUCUAUGGCAUUAUGAAUACUGUUGGCAGUUUCUCCGGGUUCAUCAUUCCCGCUAUCAUCGGUGCUCUCACCAAUGAACACAAUGGAAUUGAUGAGUGGAGUAUUAUGUUCUACAUCUCAUCUGCAGUAUUCGGUUCAGCCACGCUACUUUUCUGGCUAUUUGGCUCAGCUACAAUUCAACCCUGGAACGAUCAAAACCAGCAGACUAAAAGUGCAAAUUUGGCCGAGGAGGAGAUACAAAUAAAUUUUCCAAUAAAGGAUGUAGCAAGUAGCGGCGAAGAAGAAGAAAAUGAAAAGUUGUAAAGAGGUGCGAAAGACUUUAAAAGAAUUUGGUAUGCUUCCGUGGAUUUCGUGAAUAUAUAGAUUGUACCAAAGAAAGCAUUGUGUUUCCAGAGUUUUUGUUUAAAAAACGAUCUGAGAAGUAUUUUUAUUAAGAUUAUAUAUCAUUGUCAGUGAAUAAUUUUCACUCACAGAAAGACGUAAAAUUUAUGUAUGUUAGUAGUUGUAUACUAUCAACUAAAAAAUGUACAUACAUACAUGGAUAUCGUAAAGCAUUUUAAUUUAUAUUUUAUGAUACUUUACAAAUGCCUUUUUCUGUGAAUGAGGAAGUCUUUUCAAAUAUUUUUGAUGGUUAACAAGACUUCUGCAUGGAAUCAAUAAUUAUUUUUACUUUAGUAAGCAUUAUAUAUAAUACAUUUCAUUUUUUACUCAUUGUACCGCAAUAAUUGUAAUUUGUCGAACGAAAGAUAGAAUAUUUUUUACGUAUAAAUAUAGUAAGCGAAUUUGCGUGUAUUUUCAAGAAAUAUUUAUUCCUCGAUUUUCAUCCCCUCCGAUCAACCCAACCCAACCCCCCAGAGGUCUGCGAGGGCUCUAUCUCUUUGGUUCUCGAAGCUUUAUCCAAUAGGGUUCUUCUGUAUAGAAGGUCAAUAUUCAGUCAACGAAUUUUCGCUCGUCACUGUUACGCGAAAAGACAUUUAACAAACAUAUGCUACUGCAGAUACGCGACUAAAUCGUUGCCUGACGUCGGUAAUAACGGUCACUAUGUAGCAGGUGUGAGCGCGUUUCUCGUCUCCGAGAAACCGCAAGGAGCAUGGAAUACAGGCAACAUGGACAGAAUAAAUGAAUGGAACUGAUUAUCCACAGUAAAUUUCAAUAAUAGAAUCAUAAAUUUAUGUAAAUUUCGAAAUGUAAACUAUCAAAUAAAAAACCAACGUAGACUUAUUGUAAAAUCAUUAAAAUUAUGU